rnacentral:rRNA from 1 species
UACAGAGGGUGCAAGCGUUGUUCGGAUUUAUUGGGCGUAAAGAGCUCGUAGGCGGUUCGAUAAGUCGGACGUGAAAUCUCCACGCUCAACGUGGAGGGGCCGUUCGAUACUGUCGUGACUCGAGUCCGGUAGGGGAGUGUGGAAUUCCCGGUGUAGCGGUGAAAUGCGCAGAGAUCGGGAGGAACACCCGUAGCGAAGGCGGCACUCUGGGCCGGUACUGACGCUGAGGAGCGAAAGCGUGGGGAGCAAACAGGG